AGCCAGGCUGGGUAAGUGAGGUGAAAGGCUGCCUGAGCUAGGCCCCUGCCUCAGCUCCACCGUUGGUUAGUGUCUCGUGGGGUUGUCUUUGGACAUUGUGUGCAGCACCUCUGGAGACUGAGUGCAGCUGGUUGGGUUUUGGUUUUGUAAAUGAGCUAAUCCUACUCUCAACUUAGUAAUGGGAGGCUGUUCUCACUCAGCUACCGUGAGUGUCUUGAGGAAGUUGGUGGGCAUCGCUGUGAUGUUGGCAGCAGCUUCUUGGGGUUCUUUUGGGGCCAUUGAGCUGGAAGGGCUCUUAGGACAGCACUGGGUAGGAGGCUCUGAGGGUUUUCUGUGAGUUUCUUUAAGUUCUGUUCAGAGCCAGCUCUCCAGAGGGCAGCACACUCUGGUACCCACUUACAAGCACAGCCACAUCAGGGCUCAGAUUUUAAGUGGAUCUCCCUGCAAGUUCUGUUCAAAUUACGGCUGGGCUGGUGUCCCAGCGGGUACUGCCCGCCAAGACUGUUCUUUGGCUUGCCUGUGGUUCAAGAUGGAGAGUGGGACGCUACCUUAUGACGGUCUACACUAGGGUACCAGGUACCCUCUGGUAGCCUUUCCCUCCUGGUCUUGGAGCAAAGAUGAUUUCAAAACAUGAAGUGUGACCUUACAGAGUCAUUUAUAGCGUUGGGCCCAGUUUUGGCUCUAAGACUUAAUUGACACCUAUGUUAGGGAAUGUCCAGCAGACUUCUGAAUCCUGGAACAAAUUUUAAAAUUAGUUUAAAAAAAAAUCCAUUUCCAGAGGCAAUUGGCAUAAGCAAGAAUGGAAGCAGAUUGAGUCUGGAGAAGUCUUUAUCUAUGGAAAGUGGGCAAAGUGGGCCAUCUGGGUCCUGCUCUUGGUGAAGUCUGCGGGAUGUGGACCCAUUUCUCUCAGGCCCCUCCUGCUAGUUACAGUGUGAGGUGAACACCAGGGACCGUAUUGAGAAUUUUGUUCCCGCUAAUUAAUACAGUCAGGCCACAGGGAAAGAACAAAAUUAAGACCCAGGGAAAGCACGGGGCAGUAGCCUGAAAGUUAUCUUCUGCCCUUAUAAAACAUAAAAUCUAGUAAGAUAAUUGAGGGCUGUUAGCUCAUCCUUAUUAAGCCCAACUUGCAAGAACGAGUGUAAAAAAAAAACCCGUAAGACAAAACAGCCAGUCCCACGUAUGAUGCUCCCAGACUGAGGGGCCUGCUGGCAGGAAGGCUUCAAGGCUUCUGAGCUGCGUGUUGACCACAGUCCACCGUCCCUACACAGCCCCUCCCACGCCCUAGUACUGACACCUAGCUCCAACCACGGCAGAGAUGACCAUACACACCUCCUCAGCCGGCGGGGUCUGGAGGCUCAUUUUUAAACGGUGCACUUUAAAAAUUGGAAACGGUGAGAUGAGAUGAAGAGAAAUUCAAUUAAGCGGAAAUGAGUUUUGUUUUAUAGCCUGCUGCUGAAGGGCUCUGGGCAUGCUGAAAGCUAAAUAAAAGCACACCACUGGCUCUCUCUUUCUUGGAUUGGUCAAGUGCCCCUCCCCUCCUUUUUUUUUUUUUUUUCUUUCAGUCGUUGUUCCAACUGCUCUACCAGUGACUGGAGCCAAAAAGAGAGAGCCCAGCAAAGCCAUCCCAUCCCCACUCUGCUUGUUAGGACCACACUAAAAGCACAGAUUCAUGCUGCUAGCUCUGGUGAGGAGACAGCUGCAGGUUUGGGAGGGGUGCCAAGCCUUCCUUCAUUCCUUUGCAUAGUGAGGCAGAACGCAGGUGGACAGAGCCAGGCCACCUCCACUCCCGCCUGAUGUCGCCUACAGGCAGGGAUCACUGGGGUGUGACUGUGUGAGGACCGUGUUCACCUGAGGAGCAGGUUCAGGGCUGCAGGACCCCAGAUGCUGCUCUGAGCUCACACUUAGACCUCAAAGUCCCAGAUCUCCUAAGCAUUGGAUUGUCACCCCAUCCUUCAUGGUGUAAAUUUUGUACAGUUAAAAAGAAAUGAAGUUGCGUUUCCUGGGAAAAAGAGAAGAAAAGGAAAAAAAAAACCAAACAAACAAAGAAAAAAAAAAACAACAAAAAGAGCACCCACCCCUCCUUAUUUAUUGCCAUGUGACUUUGGAGAGCCGAACUGGUGCGUUUGUUUGUAUAUGCCUCCUGUGUGCUGGCAUGAGAUGUGUAUGGUAAAACUGUAAAAUAAAGAUGGAAAUU
rnacentral:lncRNA from 1 species